CCUACGGGCGGCAGCAGUGGGGAAUAUUGCACAAUGGGGGAAACCCUGAUGCAGCGACGCCGCGUGGAGGAAGAAGGUCUUCGGAUUGUAAACUCCUGUUGUUGAGGAAGAUAAUGACGGUACUCAACAAGGAAGUGACGGCUAACUACGUGCCAGCAGCCGCGGUAAAACGUAGGUCACAAGCGUUGUCCGGAAUUACUGGGUGUAAAGGGAGCGCAGGCGGGAGAACAAGUUGGAAGUGAAAUCCAUGGGCUCAACCCAUGAACUGCUUUCAAAACUGUUUUUCUUGAGUAGUGCAGAGGUAGGCGGAAUUCCCGGUGUAGCGGUGGAAUGCGUAGAUAUCGGGAGGAACACCAGUGGCGAAGGCGGCCUACUGGGUACCAACUGACGCUGAGGCUCGAAAGUGUGGGUAGCAAACAGGAUUAGAUACCCUAGUAGUC
rnacentral:rRNA from 1 species